rnacentral:rRNA from 1 species
UACGUAGGGUGCGAGCGUUGUCCGGAAUUAUUGGGCGUAAAGAGCUUGUAGGCGGUUUGUCGCGUCUGCCGUGAAAAUCCGGGGCUCAACCCCGGACUUGCGGUGGGUACGGGCAGACUAGAGUGUGGUAGGGGAGACUGGAAUUCCUGGUGUAGCGGUGAAAUGCGCAGAUAUCAGGAGGAACACCGGUGGCGAAGGCGGGUCUCUGGGCCGAUACUGACGCUGAUGCGCGAAAGCCAGGGGAGCGAACGGG